rnacentral:tRNA from 1 species
GGCUUUAUAGUCAAAGUUUAAUUUAUGAUACUAGAUUGCAAUUCUAGGGGUAGGAUGGAUAAUUCCUUAAAGCUU